UACGGGGGGGGCAAGCGUUGUUCGGAAUUACUGGGCGUAAAGGGCUCGUAGGCGGCCAACUAAGUCGGAUGUGAAAUCCCCAGGCUUAACCCGGAAAGGUCAAUCGAUACUGCGGGGCUAGAGUGCAGAAGGGGCAACUGGAAUUCUCGGUGUAGCGGUGAAAUGCGUAGAUAUCGAGAGGAACACCUGCGGCGAAGGCGGGUUGCUGGGCUGACACUGACGCUGAAGCGCGAAAGCUAGGGGAGCGAACGGG
rnacentral:rRNA from 1 species